rnacentral:lncRNA from 1 species
CGUUUCUGGCAUUUCUUCUUCUCUUCUUUAGUUUUUCUUUUUCUUUCUUUUUCCUUCACCUUUAACCUUGGUUUUCUUGAAUAUUUUGAGGAUAUUUGGAACAUGAUUAUGGUGAAGUAGCUUGGAGAAGAAGAUCAUUUGAUAUUGAAGAAGCCUCAACAAUUGCUCUCUUUAUCAAUAAGCUUUUCUUUUCCUAUUUUCCAUUAUUGUGUUGUAAGAAUUUGAUGUUAUUUGUAAUAUUUCAUGGCUAACUAAAUAUAAUUGUGAUGGGGAUUAUUUCAAACCCGAGUUAUGAUUUUCAAUUAAUUUGUGCUUUAUAGUUCUCUUGAUUGAUGUGUUUAAUCCAUUGUGUUAAAUGUUAGUUUUGUUCUUCUUGAUUGCUUAGGUGUACAACUAAAUGAUUAUGUUGUUUCAAUUAAUGCUCUUUUGGGAUUUAUAGUACGUAAUAGCUAUUUAUUCUAAAACCUUGUAGCAAUUACAUUUCGAUAGAUUAUGAAGAAUUUUCAAUUGAAUGUAUGUAGAUUAACACUUAAGUUAGUAAAUCGAGCUUGCGAGUUUGCCCUUAAUUCAAUUCAUCUCUUUUGUCGUAGUGCGUUUGUUAAAUUAAAUCUAGAAAGCUUGUUCUAGGUUGUUUAACGAAAAGGGUCGAGUGAAAAUCUUGUUUUAUUCGACUAAUAUGUAAGAAGA